rnacentral:lncRNA from 1 species
GGAUUGAAAAAGGCCCAGUUGUGUCCACCUCUGCAGAAAGGCUGAUGGAAAGGUCAGUCAUUUAUUCCAAAUCUGAUCUAGUAAGGGAAGGAAAUGAUUCUGUUGCUGUAAACUAACUCUUCAAUUCUUUUCCUCCUUUCCCCUUAGAUUUCAGUUCUGAGUCAACAUGAAGAAAAUGUCCAGUGUUUAAUAGAUAAUAAAUAGAUAUUCUUAAACUGUUUUCAAAAGAAUGGGUAUCCUGCUAUAGAAGAAAGAAAUAACUUUCCAAGAUGACCAUUAUUUCUGAGUCUAGAAUAAAGGACACUGCCACUACAAUUGGUGAAGGAGGAAGAGCAUUCAUAUGAAUCAUUCUAUUCUUUUAACCAACAAGCACUGCAUUGCAUGCGUGCAUACAAGAGAACUGCUGGGCUUGGAUCUAUAUUGCUUCUUCCUGAUGGACAUCUAACUAGCCUUCAGGGACAUCUGGCUGACCUCCUGGGAAAUCAGGCUGACACCUUGAGACAGAAGUCUGCUGGAAAGAGCAACCAGCAGCCCUCUGACUCAGACCUGACUACUCCAUGGAACAGGCAGAAAUGAGACUCAGAUUCAGACCCCUCCCCACCAACAAGGAAGCAGAAAACCAGGUCUUCUCAUUCAAAACUCUCUCCAUCCCUCCACCCUGAAGGAAUCAGCCUCCUGGAGCAAAGGCCAAGCAGAUGUUUUCUGAGGCCGGAACUGGGUUGGUGUCUUAUGUAAGGAGAGAGCAGCAGGAGCUCAGGAGGCAGGACCAAGAAACCAAACAUUUGGAAGUUGAAUUCCAAAAUGCUGAAACCAUUUUUUGAGAUAAGUCUGGUUGAGAGAGGGACCCAAAGCUGGAAUGAUUAAAGCAAUGGUGAAAAAAAGAAGAGUCAGAGAAAAAUGAACAGUAUGCUCAGUGGGGAAAGGGCCUUGUGCAGAGCCAGCAGCAGCAACAAAAUU